GAAGCCUCAAAUAUCUGAAUCUAGUUGGGUAGUUUAUUAUUUUAUUAAAUAUAUAUCCAAACAUACAAUACAAUAAGAUACUCGAUUUGUCUACUACAUUAUGUGUCACUUGUAAAUCAUGGUAUAUCUUCAGUUUCUAAAUUUCAUAUGUAAUGUGAACUUUGACUUCAAAUCUAUGUGUAUUGUAAGUUUUGACUUCUUAAUUAAAGAUCUCCAUGGUUCCAGUUUUGGGGUUAUAACAAGUCAAAUAAUGUCCAAUACACCUAUCCAAUACAAAUUGUGCUUGUCUCUAUGUUGGUGCUUUUCUCGUCUACUUCCUGAAAAUUUCUUUCGUUUAAUUCUUGAUCCUUGAUUUGAGUUCUUACCUUAUUUAGAUUGUAUCCUCAUGUUUGUGCCAUAUGACCCAAUAUCUGGUUCGUCAUAGAUCAUACUAAACUUAAAGCAAUUCUGUAAGUAUUUGUGUAGUCAAAUGCUCCCCAUUUUUGUCUAGACUAUGCAUGAUGGAAUAUUUGUUUUAUUUAUUUAGUUCUUUCCAAAAUAUUAGCUAAGGUUUGUGCUAAGAGAUCUUUACUCUAUCUAUUUGAGGAUUAAUGUCCAAUACAAUUACAUGUAGAUACAGAGAAUAAAACAGUCUUGAUUGUUGAAAGCAUCAAACAUGCUGGAUGUCGAGAUGGAAAUUCUUAGUGUAAGUUCUUUUUCACAAAAGAAGUAUGAUUGAGAUUAUAUUUGAGUGUCCACAUUAACAUUUACAAAUUGCCAUCAUGGUGCAAAAUGUUUAAUAUGGUGGGUAUGAAAAGACAUGACUAUGACAGAGACUGGUAGGAACUGAUUAGCAUUAAACAAGUUUAUAGCCAACGGUAAUACGAAACAUACAAAUUUCACUUCAUAUUUUGUUAUUCUAGUUGUGGUUUGUGUCACUGAUUUUCAUAUUUUUAUUUAUCUCUCUGUGUUUCUGCCUUUCUUUCUUUUCUUUUUUCUUCCUUUUUCAAUUGACUUCUGUUUUUGCCUUUUCACUUUUCUUCUUUUUUCCUUUGCUUCUGUGAUGGUAAGCAUUUGUUUAGUUGUCCCUCCUUCUUAGUUUUAUACUACUGCUGUUUUAAAAGUUUUAACUUACUCUCUAACUGCCGCCUCCCUUUUUUUCUUCUUAUUUCACUUCUUACACGACUGUUUUCUGCAGCUGCUUUUACACUGGAUAAUACUAUUUAGGGGUAGUAAAUCUUCUUAUUGAUUGACACUCCCUUUAUAUAAAACAUGACAACAAAUACCCGUCACUUCUCUAAGGUAUUUGCCUUGUGCCUCAUGUAUCAUGUGUCAUCCCUCGUGCAUCGCAGUUAGUCUUCAGUAGAGCUUUUAGCUCCUUAGUACUCCUUGCGCCCUUGGUAACUUUAAUGUGGCUCCUUAUAUGAUAGGCUUGCUUUAAUAGAAUAGAUCAUGCUUUAUGAUUAAGCAAGUAUGUAGAUGGUGAUUAUGUUAGCAAUCUAAGUAUACUGCAGUUAGAUGCACUUGAAAGUGACACCAGUUGAAGUUAUUGUGUAUGAAGUUGAUGGACCAGUUUAUCGUUGCUCACAUCACUUAUGGUUCUCUAGUUAAGCUUUUGACACUUCCCUUUGUUUAUUCUUGAUGUCCCUAUGCUCGGUUUUUCAAGUCGCUUCUUUCUUUGCUAAUCCAACAGGACAAAUGAAUUUGUAUGUCUUGUAUACUAAAUGAAUUAACCUAUCUGAUGAUUGAUUAUUUGCAUUUCAGUGAACUGCUGAUUUUAGAUUAAAUUUUAAGUUCUGAGUUCAGACUGGUUAUGGGAAAUAUUAGUUCAAAGUUCCUUUUGAGUUUUGACCACUAUUUUUUGCUUCAUUUACUAUUUUGAUAUUCCUAUUCUAUAGAUUUUCAACAAGUUGCAUCUCUCUGUCAUGGUUUGGUAAGUCAUAUCCAAGAUACUGGAACAGACUGAUUCAUUGAUCUCCUUCAAUAAAAUGUGGCUUGUGCAUGUAGGUUUUAGAUCCCCACUUGUAUUAUUAAAGAUUCAUCACUAUCAUAACUGAUCUUGUACCAUCUACAGCCUGUAUAGUAGGAUAACGCAGGACUUAUUCAUAUCGAGAAGGGAGCAGAUCCUUGUUGCAUUCAGCCUCAGCUUGUAUUUGUUAACAUAACAUUAAAUUGCAUGCACUUCUGGCAGCAAUUCUUAUCUGUUCUCUGAUAGUUUGUUUGAUAUGAAUCAGCACUGUCACUUCCAGUCUAUUCAAUAUUCAUGUUGAUUUUGUGGAACAAAUUCUUGUUAAUGACAAAGUCCUAGUACCUCAUCAUUUUGCGGGCCUGCAUAUGUGCACAGCAUGAAGCUUGAAGGUGAAACCCACUGCAAAAUUUUGUUUACAUAAGAGUGUCUGUUGUAGUUUGAUAUCUGUUGAUGUUUGCAGCAUGUAACUGGAAUAACCAUGAUGGAUUUUUGUUCAUCGUCUUUCUUUACCAAGGUAACAUUUUGAUGUCUAACGUUAAUGUGCUCCUUGUCUCUUGAAGUAUUAAGCAUAAAUUUUCAGUAUUUAUAUUCCUUGUGCUUUGUUUCCAGUCAUAAUAUGGACUUGUUUUAUGGAAGAUUGGUUGGGUAUAAUAUUGAUUAUCUCAACUAGUUAAAAUUUUAAAUCUUGAUAGCCUCAAAUCCUACCAAGAAAUAAAAACUUUUUGCUUAUUGUUUGUACCGUCCUAUCUUAAUUGAUCAACUUGAACCUGAGAUAGUUAUGUGAUGGUUCUUGUUUAUGUCCUCGACUUGAAGGUGGAGUUGAGCUCAAAGAACCACUUCUCGGCAUUGUACUUCCCCGUAGAUGAUUUUUCUGUGAAUCAGUAACAGUAUCAGCUUAUGGCUGUUUCUUUAAUUGCAAUUGCAACAAGUAUAAUCCUGUAGAUAAUUCCUUUUUUGUGAAGGUUUUUGUAGUAUGUAUUGACUGAACUGGUGAUUUACAUAAACAAAUAGACCUUAAUAUCAUGUUUGUUUUUCUUAGUGACCAUUGACAUUGUUCAGAUCAUUAUCUCCAGAAUAAUAUUACAGCACGAGAAGUCAACAAAGUAGAGACAUGUAAAACUCCCCUCAAGCAUCAGACUUCUCAGCCACUUCUGUUUGCUUGUUGACCCUGCUUCUGAGUUCUUCAAAAGCACGCAUGCUUUCUGCAUCAAAUCCUCCAGCAAACUGCAAGUUCACACAAAAUGAGUCAUGACAUGAAAGAAACAGGUGUGUUUUACCUUGUGAAUUAUCAGCUCUUCUAGUUGACGUUUUUAUCAUGAGACAAGCAUGAGAACUUUACCUGAUGGACCCGGAAUGCAAAUCUUACACCUUGCAGAACCAAAAACUCUCUGUUUGGCUCUUUGUCGCUGCCACUGAGAGCAUCAAGUUCUGAAGAAACCCUCUUCAUGUACUUCCUUGCUAGCUGAACUGUUGACAGUUUGAUCUGCCAAAACAUCCGUAUGUCUUUGAGCUUAUUCUUAUUUCCAGCUCUUCAAGAUCAUAAUUGAAGCACAAAGUAUGUUGUUAGAUUAAUCUUUAUAUGGUUCACUACCUUGCCCACCACACCAGAGUCCAGCAGCCAAUCAGUUGGAAUCCCGAACUCCCUGUAACGAGCAAUUGCCAUGUCUCGAGUUCGCAGCAGUGCAUACACACUUUGCUCCAUUCUGC
rnacentral:lncRNA from 1 species